AUUGAACGCUGGCGGCAGGCCUAACACAUGCAAGUCGAGCGGAUGAAGGGAGCUUACUCCUGGAUUCAGCGGCGGACGGGUGAGUAAUGCCUAGGAAUCUGCCUGGUAGUGGGGGAUAACGUCCGGAAACGGGCGCUAAUACCGCAUACGUCCUGAGGGAGAAAGUGGGGGAUCUUCGGACCUCACGCUAUCAGAUGAGCCUAGGUCGGAUUAGCUAGUUGGUGGGGUAAAGGCCUACCAAGGCGACGAUCCGUAACUGGUCUGAGAGGAUGAUCAGUCACACUGGAACUGAGACACGGUCCAGACUCCUACGGGAGGCAGCAGUGGGGAAUAUUGGACAAUGGGCGAAAGCCUGAUCCAGCCAUGCCGCGUGUGUGAAGAAGGUCUUCGGAUUGUAAAGCACUUUAAGUUGGGAGGAAGGGCAGUAAGUUAAUACCUUGUUGUUUUGACGUUACCAACAGAAUAAGCACCGGCUAACUUCGUG
rnacentral:rRNA from 1 species